AAUAAACCAAUCUUUCGCUUUUUAACUAUAACAUUUAACUCUUCGUCUUAUUCAAAAUUUUGUUGUAAUUAAUAUUUUUGUUUUUAUUAGAUGAUAAAUCAUAAAUAGUACUUUACAUGUGACUAUUUUUUUAAUUUCUUAAAAAACUUUUAUAUAAGACGGAUGGUCAAACAAUGGGCACAGAAACCGAACAUUUCGUUUAUU
rnacentral:pre_miRNA from 1 species